rnacentral:rRNA from 1 species
UACGGGGGGGGCAAGCGUUGUUCGGAAUUACUGGGCGUAAAGGGCUCGUAGGCGGUGUGUCGCGUCGGCCGUGAAAACCUGCAGCUUAACUGUGGGCGUGCGGUCGAUACGGGCAUCACUGGAGUUCGGCAGGGGAGACUGGAAUUCCUGGUGUAGCGGUGAAAUGCGCAGAUAUCAGGAGGAACACCGGUGGCGAAGGCGGGUCUCUGGGCCGAUACUGACGCUGAGGAGCGAAAGCGUGGGGAGCGAACAGG